rnacentral:rRNA from 1 species
GACGAACGCUGGCGGCGUGCUUAACACAUGCAAGUCGAACGGAAAGGCCCUGUUCUUGUGGGGUGCUCAAGUGGCGAAAACGGGAGUGUCACGUGAGUAACCUCUCCUUUUCUUUGGGGUAACUUCUGGAAACUCGAGCGAAAACCCGAUAUAAACUCCUGAUGCAUAGUGGGGAUUGGAAAGUGUCGUCGGUUGGGGAUGGAGUCGAGGCUAAUCAUCUUGUUGGUGGGGUAGUGGCUUAACAAGGCUUUGACGGGUAGCCGGCCUGCGAGGGUGACCGGGCCCAAUGGGCCUGAGGUACGGGCCAGAGUGCUACGGGGGGCAUCGGCGGGAGAUUUUCCACAAUGGGCCGAAGCCGGAUGCAGGAAUGCCGGGUCCUGGAUGACUGCUUGUGGGUUGUAAACCGCUUGCGCGUGGGACGAAGCGUGAGUGACGGUAACUGGUAAAGAAGCAACGGCUAACUACGUG